AGCUGGCUGUGGGAAUGAUCAGAGGCACUAGUGCCAUAUUGCACCUCUGCACGUGGCCGUGUUGGUCCGUUACAGCUCUUUGCUGGAAGGCAGCUGGCAUCCAGGUAGCUCCACUGGAGGCGUCUGCAGUGAGUCAAGCAGCAAACGGGCCACAAAACAGGGACUAUGGCGAUUUCCCUGAUAUUGCUGCACUGGCAUGUGAAGCAAAGCUGUCUGUUAUCACUCAUGCUUCAAGUGCUGAGAGAAACUUUAGAGACUGCGAUCAUCUUCUAUUCAGGAGCAGAGGUAGUUCUUGCUGUGGGAAAUCUCCCUGGGAAAUCAGUCUCUGAGAUCUCCCAGCUUCUCUGCCAGAGGUGUUCUGCCAAUUUGAGGGAAAAGAAUCGUUCUUAUAAAUAAAUCCUGCAGCAAGCUUCUGAGGUGAGGGAUG
rnacentral:lncRNA from 1 species